UGUCAAGAGUCUAGGCGUCGAUUCGGCGAGCAGAUUUCUUUUGCCUAAUCGAGGGUGAAAGAAAAUG
rfam:Mesorhizobium loti MAFF303099 pMLa DNA, complete genome.